UGGGGAAUAUUGCACAAUGGGCGAAAGCCUGAUGCAGCAACGCCGCGUGAGCGAUGAAGGCCUUCGGGUCGUAAAGCUCUGUCCUCAAGCAAGAUAAUGACGGUACUUGAGGAGGAAGCCCCGGCUAACUACGUGCCAGCAGCCGCGGUAAUACGUAGGGGGCUAGCGUUAUCCGGAAUUACUGGGCGUAAAGGGUGCGUAGGUGGUUUCUUAAGUCAGAGGUGAAAGGCUACGGCUCAACCGUAGUAAGCCUUUGAAACUGGGAAACUUGAGUGCAGGAGAGGAGAGUGGAAUUCCUAGUGUAGCGGUGAAAUGCGUAGAUAUUAGGAAGAACACCAGUGGCGAAGGCGACUCUCUGGACUGUAACUGACGCUGAGGCUCGAAAGCGUGGGGAGCAAACA
rnacentral:rRNA from 1 species